ACAGAUUUACCAGAAUCCCAUAUUUCCCCAUCAUCUGCAUGUUGUUGAUUUAGUUCCUGUCUUGAUCGCUUUUGCAUCCUACAGAAAAGAUGCAGAUAAACCCCGCCCGGAAAUAUGGAGAGCCACAGUGCAGCAUUUCACAUUGAAGGUGAUUAGCAACAUCCAGGACAUACUUUCCUCCAGUGGCUCAGAUGGUAAAGAAUCAGCCUGCAACGCCAGAGAUGAGACCCAGGUUCGAUCCCUGGGUAGGGAAGAUCCCCUGGAGAAGGAAAUGGCAACCCACUUCAAUAUUCUUGCCUGGAGAAUCCCAUGGACAGAGGAGACUGGUGGGCUACAGUCCAUGCGGUCACAAAGAGUUGGACACACCUGAGUGACUAACACUUCCCACUUCCCUCCAAGCAGACAGAGUCAGAGGGCAUUAUUGGCAAUGAUACUAAAUAAGAAGUGAAGAAUACUUGAGAUUUCUAAUAGCAUAGCCUACAUUCUGCAGUUAUAAAGCCUUCUCCUAGAAUAGAGAAGAAGUACAGGUGGAUUCCUCACAAUAUCAUUUUGCCAGCUCUUAAUUUUAAGAGCAUUCUUGUUUAUUCCUUCUCUUAACAGAUUUUGUCGGGGCCAAGUCCUCACUCCACAUAGUACCCAGGCUACACAGCCUAAUGCCAUGGAACAUGACACACACUGAUAAUCUCCUCUGCUGUUUCUCUUCUUCUUGAAGUGGGGCCAUUUCCUUGAAUUGCUGUAGUUGAGAACUUCUUAGUCAUCCCUUACAUGCUAGGUCCCUGAGAUGGGACAAGUGAGUUAGGAAGUUGUAGACCCAAAGUGUUUUGCCUCGGUGAUCAUUUCUUCAAUGGCAAGAACCACGAGGCCAUUGUCCAGUGCUGGUCAUUCCCUGAAAAGGUGAUUUUUAUUCUGCAAAGGGUGCCUGUGACCGUGAGCAGUUACCUGGAAUUUAGCUAUGUAAACUCUGCCAGACUGAAUAAGUUUCAGCUCAGGAACUGUCUCCCAAGUCCCUGUGAACACCAGAGUCUUAUAGGACACAGUUGUUCUUUCUGACUUGAGACUGUGACCAUCGGCUGCAUUUCUAAGGUGCACCAUUGCUUUUCCUUCCACGUUGCCAGUCUCAGAAGCAGGAGCCAUGGGGUCUUAAUGUUGAAGGGAAAUCACUUCAGCCUCUGUUUCCAGUGACCUGUGGGCUCACGCUUCCUGCCUGAAGGCUGAGCUAGAAUCCUAAUGAGCUGAAUGCAAGCUGAACUUGCUCUUCCGGUUGAUGUGCUGGCCAUCUAUUGACCUUCUGUAGCUCAGGAAAGAGUUUUUAGCCCUGGCAGCAUAGAUAAAAGAGACAUGGGUUGUAUCUGCCAGCUCGCCUGUGUUUUUUGCACUCUUCCCUGUGUUUUUUACUUUUUUCACUUCCCAAGUCAGUGAGCAGCAAGUUUAAGCUGCGUAAAGCAUUCACUAUUUGCAUACUUGGUGCACUUGGCUGUUUCUCUCUUUAGACUAUAGGGCCAA
rnacentral:lncRNA from 1 species